rnacentral:lncRNA from 1 species
CGCGCACAGCCGGGGCCGCCCGGGGGGGCUCUAGAGCCCGGCGGGCCGCGAGCGCCGCAGGGGCAGUGCCGGCCCGUCCUCCCUCAGCACUACGGACACCACGGCGGCGGCGGCUGCCCGGCUCCGGGCUGUAGCUGUUGUUGCCAUGAUGAUGAUGUCACGGACGCAACCAUUGGGGGGAGUGGGGGGAGGACGGGCCAUGGUUUGGGGGGAAGCGAGGGAGAGAGGUGUCUUAUCCCCCCCCCACCACCAGCCCGGCUCAGCAGACGUGCGUAAGGCUUCGGAGGUUUUUUUUCUCCCCCAAAUUAUUAUUCUCCCCCCCACCCUUUUCUUCCCUGGGUGGCAAGAAGCGGGGGGUGGGGCGGGGGGAGCUCGAUGAUUCGGUGAUCGGCCGCCGAGGUCGGGGCGAGGCUGCGGAAUUCCGAGCCGCGGAUUGGACAGGCCGGGGGUGGGGGGAGGACGAGAGAACGCCGCCGGGCCAGGAUUGGGUUAAGCUGGGUCGGCCGCCAUUUUGGAUGCUGAGCCGUCUCGCUGCGGGAAGAUUGAGAGCACACUUCUACUUUUUGUAUUCUUUUUGCAAUCAAGUGAAGAAGUUAGCCUCCAGGAUCACGCCAAGGUCUUGCCUUUGCCUCCCAUGAAAAAAACCUACCAGUGAACGUGCAUGCAGAAAACACAUAAGUAUUCAACAAAAAAAAUYGCCUCAAAU